rnacentral:rRNA from 1 species
CCUACGGGUGGCAGCAGUAGGGAAUCUUCCACAAUGGGCGAAAGUCUGAUGCAGCAACGCCGCGUGGGUGAAGAAGGUCUUCGGAUCGUAAAACCCUGUUGUUAGAGAAGAAAGUGCGUGAGGGUAACUGUUCACGUUUCGACGGUAUCUAACCAGAAAGCCACGGCUAACUCCGUGCCAGCAGCCGCGGUAAUACGUAGGGGGCAAGCGUUAUCCGGAUUUAUUGGGCGUAAAGGGAGCGCAGGCGGUCUUUUAAGUUUGAUGUGAAAGCCUACGGCUUAACCGGGGAAGUGCAUUGGAAACUGGGAGACUUGAGUGCAGGAGAGGAGGGAGGAAUUCCAGGUGUAGGGGUGAAAUCCGUAGAUAUAUGGAGGAACAUCAGUGGCGAAGGCGGCCAUCUGGUCCGGAAUUGACGCUGAGGUGCGAAAGCGUGGGUAGCAAACAGGAUUAGAUACCCGGGUAGUC